AUCCAGCUGACGAGUCGCAAAUGAAAUGAAACACACAUCCUGGAU
rfam:Schistosoma mansoni strain Puerto Rico chromosome 7, complete genome